rnacentral:rRNA from 1 species
UACGUAGGGUGCGAGCGUUGCCCGGAUUUAUUGGGCGUAAAGGGCGCGUAGGCGGCUCUGCACGUCCGUUGUGAAAUCGCCCGGCUCAACUGGGCGGGGUCAGCGGAUACGGCAGAGCUCGAGCAAGCUAGGGGGCAAUGGAAUUCCCGGUGUAGUGGUGGAAUGCGUAGAUAUCGAGAGGAACACCUGCGGCGAAGGCGGGUUGCUGGGCCGACACUGACGCUGAUGCGCGAAAGCCAGGGGAGCGAACGGG